rnacentral:rRNA from 1 species
UCGCUCUUCAACGAGGAAUCCCUAGUAAGCACAAGUCAUCAGCUUGUGCUGAUUACGUCCCUGCCCUUUGUACACACCGCCCGUCGCUACUACCGAUUGAAUGGCUUAGUGAGACCCUCGGAUCGACUCGCGGAAGCCUUAACCGGCAUCCGUUUGUUGAGAAGUUGGUCAAACUUGGUCAUUUAGAGGAAGUAAAAGUCGUAACAAGGUUUCCGUAGGUGAACCUGCGGAUGGAUCAUUAAAAAAUAUGGGGUAUUUAUACCUCUUGUAUUUAAAACCAACUCUUAAUAAACAUUUUUUAAAUAAAAAUAAAAACUUUCAACAACGGAUCUCUUGGCUCUCGCAUCGAUGAAGAACGCAGCGAAAUGCGAAAAGUAAUGUGAAUUGCAGAAUUCCGUGAAUCAUUAAAUCUUUGAACGCAAAUUGCACUCCUUGGUAUUCCGAGGAGUACACUUGCUUGAGGGUCAGUUAAAUAAAAUAUCGUAACAUAUUUUGGUGUUGCGGAUCUGGGUUAUCCGGUUUUUUAAGUCGGUUACCUAAAAUUAAAGAUAAUAUAAUGUGAUACGUACUAAGAUAAAAAGUCGUUAAUCAUUAAAAACUUAAUAUAUAUAUUGCUUCUAAUUUUUUUUAGUUGGUAGUUUAUAUAAUUUCUGAAAAUGACCUCAAGUCAAGUGAGAGUACCCGCUGAACUUAAGCAUAUCAAUAAGCGGAGGAAAAGAAACUAACAAGGAUUCCCCUAGUAACGGCGAGCGAAGCGGGAAGAGCACAAAUUUUAAAUCUACCUGGUUUACCGGGUCGAGUUGUAAUUUGAAGAAAUGUUUUUAAUGUUCCGGGUUGGUUUAAAUCCUUUGGGAUAAGGUAUCAUGGAGGGUGAGAAUCCCGUGUAUAUCAACCGCUGGGAUGUUAUCAAUACAUUCUCUAAGAGUCGAGUUGUUUGGGAAUGCAGCUCUAAAUGGGUGGUAAAUUUCACCUAAUGCUAAAUAUAAGCGAGAGACCGAUAGCGAACAAGUACCGUGAGGGAAAGAUGAAAAGAACUUUGAAAAGAGAGUUAAAUAGUACGUGAAAUUGUUGAAAGGGAAACGAUUGAAGUCAGUCGUACCGACGAGAAAUCAGCUUAUCGUGUGUGAACUUGUGGGCGUGCGUGAGUUUCGGCCUCGCUGUUUGCAUGUUUGUGCGCUUUGGGUGUACUUUUUCGUAUGGUUGGCCAACGUCAGUUUCGAUUACUAUAAAAUGACCGGCGGAAUGUAGCUUCGAUUUCGGUUGAAGUGUUAUAGCCUCUGGUAGAUGUGGUGAUUGGGACUGAGGAUUGCAACGAAUAUCCUUUUGGGCUAUCCGUCUGGCCUCUGAAAGUUGCUCAGGUGCCGAAAGCUUGCUUACGGUCAUCUAAGUUGACGGUCAACAGGUUAGAACGUGAUUACAUUCGUUAAGGACGUUGGCGUAAUGGCUUUAAACGACCCGUCUUGAAACACGGACCAAGGAGUCUAACAUAUAUGCGAGUGUUA